AGUCACGAUGUUGUCCCGAUCCGGAAUUCUAAAAUCCGAUAUUCGGCACCUAAUUGAUAGUGAGACUGGUGUGGAUUGUGAUAGAGGACAUGUUGACAAACAACACAAUUAUCCACCGCAUACUCCAUCCAUCUAUCCGCGGAGCUUAUAUACAUUCAUUUUGGCUCAUUCCUAAGAUGGUGCCCAACAGCCUCAUCUCACGAUUCCACGCCUUAAUUCUGGCACCCGUCCCCAGCACAAGGUGAUUGGAUGUUCUUUAUCCACUCUUCUGUGCUUUUGUGGGCAAAGAUGAUUGAUUAAAUUUGGGUGGCUAUGCCAUAUCAAUUUUCAGGGCUUGAAGCUACAUAUCUAAGGCAUGAAUGGAUCAUUUGGGCAGCGCCCUGGUCUUUACCUGGGCGUGUUGGUAUGUUGUUCUAUGAAAGGGUCGUGUAGUGUAAUGUGGUUUGGACAUUAACCUGGGCCUGACUUACUUUCAAAAAUCAAAUUCGUAACAUCCGGGUUCACAUAGGUAUCACCCAGUUAUAGGGCUAGCGUCCCAAUUAUUUGGAACCUGUAAGGGCACAUUGAGAUAUUACACACCCAAGUAUCGUCUGGUUCGACGAGCAAGGGGUCCGGUUGGUCGACUAUAAGGCGACUAGCGUGACUUUAAUGUGACGAAAUGCAGAAGCCGCGCAGCCUGCAGCAGGCGACCCUGUUUCCAAACAUUCGGAUCGGACUAAAGCUAACAUGCAUGCGUAGGUGCGACUCUAUCCUACCAGACCAGCCCUAUCCCCAUCAUCAACAAAUCAGACAAUCUUCUAUUAAGAUAGCAAUGCGGCUCUAAAAUGAUCUACAGGAAGCGCCGCAUUCCUUGAGGCCACGAAGUCCGACUCAAGCCGGUGCUUAAAAUUGAGGGCCUUCUUGAGAUAUCUGGUUGGUCGUCAUUAGACAGCUGGAAUGUUCCGAAUUGUCACCAUAGAGCUCAGAGAGUGAUAUCAUCACUUUGUUUCCAUCAAUUUAUACCCUCUACCCCCCAGGCAGCCAUCCAUGAGUGAGCUGCGCCCACCUGUUGGAAUUCCUAAAGGAGACCCGACUCCUUGCCCACCAAUGGACCAAAGUAGUAAUCAAGACGCUAUCCAUGACUGAAUUACUACCCCACUGACACGAAGACUAACACCGGAUAGGAAUUAUGACUAUAGAUUCCUAUUUAUCGCAACCGGGCUUUCUACCUCGUAUGAGCCCUUUCGGGUCAUUGCCCUCUAUGGAUCCCUCAGGCAACACUCAGACCGGAAUGCAUCCUCCCUGUGGACUGAGGACCUUCUCAGCUGUUCCCGUAGUUCUAGGUAGGGCUAGGGUUCCUGAUAUUGAUACACCCUUAUGGCAGUGCUGUCGUGAACACCGACUACACCCUGAGGUUUAAAAGAAGACCUUUUUUCACCUCUGGGAUAUUGAUUCAGAGAGUUCAUCACAGGCACCAACAAACAGUACAAUCUAAGAACUCAUCUUUCACACCCCCAGUUAUCUGAUCGAACUCCAGCAAGAAAUCUUUGGUCAUACAUUGACAGGACUUGGAGAGGCCUGAAGAUACUUAGCUAUCUUUAAUUUAUCUUGUUCAUCUGUCAAAAAGAAUACACCAUCCGAGCACAUACCCUGCUCAGAAACAUACAGCAAUACUAUACCUACAUCCUGAUAUUAUUUUGUUCUAGUUCAGGCAAAAUGUGCCACAAAUUGGAUCAAGUCGUUCUCGAGACUUCGGAAUACGUGCCGACAGAAUAUUGGAAGUGUUGUGAAUGCUCAGAGAUGUGGAUUGAUGGAUACUAUGUCGAAUGUUUCAUUUGUCAUCAUAAGAGGUGCUCUCUGUGUGGGACACUGUCUCGGUGAACUUUGGCGAUCCGUCGCCUGUCUGUUCCCAAGGCCUGGUAGAGAGGCUUGUCGCCUAUUCAUCAUCAUCCUCCUCCUGCUGUCUCUGCUGAAGCUUAUCAGCUGCAUCUCCUCUCAGCAUGUCUGACAUCUUCAAUUUACUUGGCUGAGACCUACUCGAUCAACCUCGAUGAAACACGACACCCACAUCCACAGCAUUACUCGCUUUUGACCAUUAUUCGACAGUAUUAGACAUCCCAGUUGUCACUUCAACAUCGCGCAUUCUAGUUUUGUAUCUUUGCUUCUCCAUCUUGUCCUCUCGAUUAAUUGAUGUAUUUCUGUUCGAAUUUUACUUGGCCUCCUAGUUUUCGUUUCCCUAAUGGUAUUUAUUCCUUUCACUCUUGACUCUUCCUCGUCCAAUAUGCCCCUUGGAUAAUAAUAGAUUUCUCUUCAAAAAAUUUUUGACAUCCUGGUUGUUGUUACCCUAAUGGUAUUGCUGCUUUGGUUUGGCUCUUCGUCUUUUCGCCCUGCCUCUGGUUUCAUAUGAUUUCUCUUCGGAUUUUACUUGGUUGAUUUCAUGUUUGCUUCUCAUUCGUCUUGCUUUAUCGCCCUCAGUCCUUCAUUGCAAUCCAGGUUUUACAUUACUUAGUUUAGUUAGCUUGAAUUACCUAGAUAGACCAUCAAAAUCAAAUUUAUUAGUACAAACCACCCCUUCACCUUCUCUUAUCUCUCAACAAAAUAAUCAUAC
rnacentral:lncRNA from 1 species